UUAAGAACAUUCGUCCCCGAAUGUUCAAACAAACAGGCACAUGCAUAUACAUAACAUAAGCACAAUCAUGACAACACAUAAGCUCUAAUCUAUAAAGAAACACGAUAUCACUGGAGUACGAACUCUCGGUCUCCCUGGUGCACUUUUCAUCUUAAGGUGAUUCUAAGGGACUUUCACCAUCGGGAUUUCCUUGUUUCCACACUUUCUAACUUGUGUGUCUGCGGUCCGUACUAGCUGCUCAACAUAGGUGAGAUCCUCUACGAUCCCCACCUCUGGUUCCUUUAAGAACCUCACUCGGAUCCGACACGAACUCAUAUACCGUGGAAACAUGGAAAAACGGAUGGAUCUCUCCCAUUGGAGUGGGCAAAUCUAACUCGUGAGAUACAUUCCCAAUCCUUUGCAGGAUUUCAAAGGGUCCAAUGUAUUUGAGAGCUAAUUUACCUUCCUGCCCGUUAUGAAUC
rnacentral:lncRNA from 1 species